GAAAGUAAACAAGGGCGCAUGGAGGAUGCCUAGGCUCUCGGAGGCGAAGAAGGACGUGAUAAGCUGCGAAAAGUUACGGUAAGGCGCAAAUAGCCCUAGACCCGUAAAUAUCCGAAUGGGGCAACCCGGCCAGCAAUGGCCAUACCGCCAAGCGGUAAGCCAACGCGGGGAACUGAAACAUCUAAGUACCCGCAGGAAAAGAAAAUAACAAUGAUUCCGCCAGUAGUGGCGAGCGAACGCGGAACAGCCCAAACCACCCGUGUUACGGCACGGGUGGGGUAGAAGGAUCCACGAUACGGCAAGAAAUAAGUUAGCGGAAUACGAUGGAAAUCGUAGCCAAAGACGGUGACAGCCCGGUACGCGAAAACCGACAGAAGCCCAGUGGACACCUGAGUAACCCAGGACACGAGAAAUCCGGGGCGAAUCAGCGGGGCCCAUCCCGUAAGGCUAAAUACUCCCGAGAGACCGAUAGCGAACCAGUACUGUGAAGGAAAGGUGAAAAGCACCUCGAACAGAGGAGUGAAAUAGUCCCUGAAACCGUCUGCCUACAAGCGGUCGGAGCACAUUAAAGUGUGACGGCGUGCCUUUUGCAUAAUGAACCUACGAGUUACUUUCUCCGGCAAGGUUAAGGGCUUCAGGCCCGGAGCCGAAGCGAAAGCGAGUCUUAAUAGGGCGUGAUAGUCGGAGUGAGUAGACGCGAAACCAAGUGAUCUACCCUUGGUCAGGAUGAAGGUUGGGUAACACCAACUGGAGGUCCGAAUGGGUAUACGUUGAAAAGUGUUCCAAUGAACUGAGGGUAGGGGUGAAAGGCUAAUCAAACUUGGAGAUAGCUCGUACUCCCCGAAAUGCAUUUAGGUGCAGCCUUUAUUUAGUAUAGCAUGAGGUAGAGCGACUGAUUGGAUGCGAGGGCUUCACCGCCUAUCAAGUCCAGAUAAACUCCGAAUGCGUGCUAUAUAUUGAUAAGGAGUGAGGGCGCGGGUGCUAAGGUCCGCGUCCGAGAGGAGAAGAAUCCAGACCAUCAGCUAAGGUCCCCAAAUAACAGUUAAGUUGAACUAACGAAGUCGGACUGCAGAGACAGCUAGGAUGUUGGCUUGGAAGCAGCCAUUCAUUUAAAGAGUGCGUAACAGCUCACUAGUCGAGGAGUCCGGCGUGGAUAAUACUCGGGCAUAAACUGUUUACCGAAGCUAUGGAUGUAGAAAUACAUGGUAGGGGAGCAUUCCAACGGCGUCGAAGGUGAAGGAUGACCUUUGCUGGAGCUUUUGGAAACGCAAAUGUAGGUAUAAGUAACGAUAAAGGAGGUGAGAAACCUCCUCGCCGAAAGACUAAGGUUUCCUGAUCAACGUUAAUCGGAUCAGGGUAAGUCGGGACCUAAGGUUAAGCCGAACGGCGAUACCGAUGGAAGAAUGGUUUAAUAUUCCCAUACUACUUUAUGGAGCGAUGUGGAGACGGAGAAGUGAAAGUCCUGCCAUCUGACGGAAUAGGUGGUUGAAGAGUGUAGAUGUAGAUUCCUGUAGGCAAAUCCGCAGGGAGAGUCGACCUUGACAGUAUGCCGCGUGCUUGCACAAGGCAAAAUGGACGUAAUCAGGCUCCCAAGAAAAUCCGCUAAGCAUAUUCAUAAAGUACCCGUACCGUAAACGGACACACGUAGUUGGGUUGAAAAUACUGAGGCGCUCGAGUGAUUCACGGUUAAGGAACUAGGCAAAUUGACCCUGUAACUUCGGGAUAAAGGGUCCCUACUGAGAGGUAGGGCGCAGAGAAUAGGUCCAGGCAACUGUUUAACAAAAACACAUGGCUGUGCGAAAUAGAAAUAUGAAGUAUACAGCCUGACACCUGCCCGGUGCUGGAAGGUUAAGAGGAGAGCUCAUCGCAAGAGAAGGCUUGAAUUGAAGCCCCAGUAAACGGCGGCCGUAACUAUAACGGUCCUAAGGUAGCGAAAUUCCUUGUCGGGU
rnacentral:rRNA from 1 species